UNACACGUGAGUGACCUGCCUUUUAGACUGGAACAACUUACCGAAAGGUGAGCUAAUGCCGGAUGAGUUAUAUAAGUGCAUGUUUAUAUAGGAAAAGUUGGGGAGACCUGACGCUGAAAGAUGGACUCGCGUCCCAUUAGCUAGUUGGUAGGGUAAUGGCCUACCAAGGCGACGAUGGGUAGCCGGCCUGAGAGGGUGGCCGGCCACACUGGGACUGAGACACGGCCCAGACUCCUACGGGAGGCAGCAGUGGGGAAUUUUGCGCAAUGCUCGUAAGAGUGACGCAGCGACGCCGCGUGAAUGACGAAGGCCUUCGGGUCGUAAAGUUCUUUCGACAGGGAAGAAAAUGCCUAUAAGUAACUGUGUAUGUAUUGACGGUACCUGUAUAAGCAGCCCCGGCUAACUCCGUGCCAGCAGCCGCGGUAAUACGGAGGGGGCGAGCGUUGUUCGGAGUGACUGGGCGUAAAGAGCACGUAGGCGGUGUUGUAAGUCAUUAGUCAAAGACUAGAGCUCAACUUUAGUAAGGCUAGUGAUACUAUAAUACUAGAGUAUCAGAGAGGAUUGCAGAAUUCCUGGUGUAGCGGUGAAAUGCGUAGAUAUCAGGAGGAAUACCGUUAGCGAAGGCGGCAAUCUGGCUGGAAACUGACGCUGAGGUGCGAAAGCGUGGGUAGCAAACAGGAUUAGAUACCCUGGUAGUCCACGCUGUAAACGAUGGAUGCUAGGUGU
rnacentral:rRNA from 1 species